rnacentral:rRNA from 1 species
UACAGAGGUCUCAAGCGCUGUUCGGAUUCAUUGGGCGUAAAGGGUGCGUAGGCGGCGCGGUAAGUCGGGUGUGAAAUCUCGGGGCUUAACUCCGAAACUGCAUUCGAUACUGCCGUGCUUGGGGACUGGAGAGGAGACUGGAAUUUACGGUGUAGCGGUGAAAUGCGUAGAUAUCGUAAGGAAGACCAGUGGCGAAGGCGGGUCUCUGGACAGUUCCUGACGCUGAGGCACGAAGGCCAGGGGAGCAAACGGG